rnacentral:rRNA from 1 species
UGGAUCCGUUACCCGGGUUGCGGACAGUGUCUGGUGGGUAGUUUGACUGGGGCGGUCUCCUCCUAAAGAGUAACGGAGGAGCACGAAGGUUGGCUAAUCCUGGUCGGACAUCAGGAGGUUAGUGCAAUGGCAUAAGCCAGCUUGACUGCGAGCGUGACGGCGCGAGCAGGUGCGAAAGCAGGUCAUAGUGAUCCGGUGGUUCUGAAUGGAAGGGCCAUCGCUCAACGGAUAAAAGGUACUCCGGGGAUAACAGGCUGAUACCGCCCAAGAGUUCAUAUCGACGGCGGUGUUUGGCACCUCGAUGUCGGCUCAUCACAUCCUGGGGCUGAAGUAGGUCCCAAGGGUAUGGCUGUUCGCCAUUUAAAGUGGUACGCGAGCUGGGUUUAGAACGUCGUGAGACAGUUCGGUCCCUAUCUGCCGUGGGCGCUGGAGAACUGAGGGGGGCUGCUCCUAGUACGAGAGGACCGGAGUGGACGCAUCACUGGUGUUCGGGUUGUCAUGCCAAUGGCACUGCCCGGUAGCUAAAUGCGGAAGAGAUAAGUGCUGAAAGCAUCUAAGCACGAAACUUGCCCCGAGAUGAGUUCUCCCUGAGACUUAGAGUCUCCUGAAGGAACGUUGAAGACGACGACGUUGAUAGGCCGGGUGUGUAAGCGCAGCGAUGCGUUGAGCUAACCGGUACUAAUGAACCGUGAGGCUUAACCUUACAACGCCGAAG